rnacentral:tRNA from 1 species
GGGUAAUUAGUCCAGCACAAGAUACUUGAUUUCGGCUCAAGAGAUUGAGGUUUAAAUCCUCAAUUACCCU